AUGGGGGAACGUCAUUGGUUGAGGGCCUUCAAGUGGUCGUGCCCAGCUGGAAAAUGGACAGGACCCACCUGGGAGGAGGAUGAUGAUUGCAAAGGAUCCCAAUUUGGGGCCAAGAGGCUCCGGGCGGCCGUGACCCUGCUGGAGUGCGGGGGGGACCUCCAGCCCCCCGGGGGGUCCCUGCGCCUCCUCUGCCGAGGGGCCGGGUUCGAUUUUGGGAGUUAUAAAAUGUUCUGGGUGCGCCAGAGACCUGGGCAGGGGCUGGAGUGGCUCGCAGGGAUCACCAACACCGGUGGCAGCACCUGGUACGCGCCGUCAGUGCAGGGCCGGUUCACGAUCUCCAGGGACAACGGGCAGAGCUCGGUGACGCUGACCAUGAACAGCCUCAAGGAAGAGGAUUCUGGAUCCUAUUUCUGUGGGAAAUGUGCUUACACUGGUGUUUGUAGUUCUGAUACUGGUGGUAUUGUCGUGCCGGGCUUGGCCCCAUCCCCAUCCAGCACUGUUGGACCAUCAGGGCGCAGGACGUUGUUCUUUCACUGA